rnacentral:rRNA from 1 species
GAUGAACGCUGGCGGCGUGCCUAAUACAUGCAAGUCGAGCGAACGGACGAGAAGCUUGCUUCUCUGAUGUUAGCGGCGGACGGGUGAGUAACACGUGGAUAACCUACCUAUAAGACUGGGAUAACUUCGGGAAACCGGAGCUAAUACAGGAUAAUAUUUUGAACCGCAUGGUUCAAAAGUGAAAGACGGUCUUGCUGUCACUUAUAGAUGGAUCCGCGCUGCAUUAGCUAGUUGGUAAGGUAACGGCUUACCAAGGCAACGAUGCAUAGCCGACCUGAGAGGGUGAUCGGCCACACUGGAACUGAGACACGGUCCAGACUCCUACGGGAGGCAGCAGUAGGGAAUCUUCCGCGAUGGGCGAAAGCCUGACGGAGCAACGCCGCGUGAGUGAUGAAGGUCUUCGGAUCGUAAAACUCUGUUAUUAGGGAAGAACAUAUGUUUAAGUAACUGUGCACAUCUUGACGGUACCUAAUCAGAAAGCCACGGCUAACUACGUG